rnacentral:rRNA from 1 species
UACGGGGGGGGCAAGCGUUGUUCGGAAUUACUGGGCGUAAAGGGCUCGUAGGUGGCCAACUAAGUCAUACGUGAAAUCCCUCGGCUUAACCGGGGAACUGCGCCUGAUACUGGAUGGCUUGAGUUUGGGAGAGGGACGCGGAAUUCCAGGUGUAGCGGUGAAAUGCGUAGAUAUCUGGAGGAACACCGGUGGCGAAGGCGGCGUCCUGGACCAAUACUGACACUGAGGAGCGAAAGCCAGGGGAGCAAACGGG